rnacentral:rRNA from 1 species
GUCCUUUUGAUUUUUAUUUAAGGUCUGACCUGCCCACUGAUUAAUUUAAUGGCCGCGGUAUUUUGACCGUGCAAAGGUAGCAUAAUAAUUUGUCUUUUAAUUGAAGGCUUGUAUGAAUGGUUGGACGAGAAAACUACUUUCUUUAUAAUAGAUUAAUUAAUUUUAUUUUUUAGUUAAAAAGCUAAAAUAUUAUUGUAGGACGAGAAGACCCUAUAGAACUUUAUAAUUAUUUUUAUAUUAAUAUAUUUGGUUUAUAAUAUAUUAUAUUUUUAUAAUUAUUUUGUUGGGGCGACAAGAAAAUUUAUUUAACUUUUUUUUAUAUAUUUCAUUAAUUAAUGUACAAAUGAUCCUAUAUUAUGGAUAACUAGAAUAAGUUACCUUAGGGAUAACAGCGUAAUUUUUUUGGAGAGUUCUUAUCGAUAAAAAAGUUUGCGA